rnacentral:lncRNA from 1 species
CUCAGUUAGGUACAAAACCAGCUGAGAUGACGAAGCGACAGUAAGGCCAAUGAGCCUGAAUCUUGCCCAAGACCUCAGUUAGGCACAAAACCAGCUGAGAUGACGAAGCGACAGUAAGGCCAAUGAGCCUGAAUCUUGCCCAAAACCUCAGUUAGGCACGAAACCAACUGAAAUGACGAAGCGACAGUAAGGCCAAUGAGCCUGAACCUUGCGCAAGACCCUAAAAAGGAGCAAAAACGGCCGGCGGGAUCAACAAGAUCUCCCCGGAGCAAAAACGGCCAGGAUCCCGUAAGAUCUCCUGGAGUAAAAACGGCCGGCGGGAUCAACAAGAUCUCCC